CCUACGGGAGGCAGCAGUGGGGAAUUUUGGACAAUGGGCGCAAGCCUGAUCCAGCUAUUCCGCGUGUGGGAUGACGGCCCUCGGGUUGUAAACCACUUUAGUAGAGAACGAAAAGGAGCUAUCGAAUAAAUAGCUCCGCUGACGGUACUCUAAGAAUAAGCACCGGCUAACUACGUGCCAGCAGCCGCGGUAAUACGUAGGGUGCGGGCGUUAAUCGGAAUUACUGGGCGUAAAGGGUGUGCAGGCGGCUAAGUAAGACAGAUGUGAAAUCCCCGGGCUUAACCUGGGAACCGCAUAUGUGACUGCUUGGCUAGAGUGCGUCAGAGGGAGGUGGAAUUCCACGUGUAGCAGUGAAAUGCGUAGAUAUGUGGAAGAACACCGAUGGCGAAGGCAGCCUACUGGGACGCAACUGACGCUCAUACACGAAAGCGUGGGGAGCAAACAGGAUUAGAUACCCGAGUAGUC
rnacentral:rRNA from 1 species